rnacentral:tRNA from 2 species
CUCGUGUCACCAGUUCAAAUNUGGUUCCUGGC